rnacentral:lncRNA from 1 species
GUUUCCGCUCACAUCCACGCGCCCGGGCCAGGCCGCUGUGACCCGGCCUGAGCACGCCGCUGGGUGCCCCUGUGUCCGUCCCUAUGGGCCCUGGCGCCGAACCUGCCGCGGCCAGCAGUGCCAUCCUGGGCGGUGACAUGGCUUCUCUCUGCAAGAGGCACGAAGGUCUGUUUGGUCUCCGUUCAAUGAGCUUAUGGUCUGAGGAGAGGAAGAUGGACAUCAGCCGUCUAUCGUGGUGUGUCCCAGGAGGGGGCCUCUGCAAGCCCUGUCAGGAGAAUGCAGACCAGGCUUCCAGGAGCUACUCUAAGCAGAAACCAAAAGGCAAGCAAAGCAUAAAUAGGGGCAGGGAUGGGGAGGGGAGAGAUGGUCUCAAUAGAGGGAGAAGCACAAGAAAACCUUAUAGCUGGAGGGACCCAGUGCUUCCCUCACCUUCUGGUCCUGGAGGAGGGGGCCCACUCCCUGCCUGCUGUGAGCCCCCAUGGUUGUCAGGGAGGCAGGCCGCAGGCAGGGUGCUGUGGGCUGGGCCGUGGGCCUCACUUUAUCACUCUCUGGCUGACAACGGUGCUCACUCCACCUCUCUGUGUCUGAAGGAAGGAUCUAGACUGGAUGAUUUCUAGGAACCUCUUGUUCCUCUCUGGAAGGGGCUUAAAGCUUCUCAGGUUGUCUACAAUCCCUGGAGUGCAGUCCUCUUGGGACCAUGCUGUCCCAUCUGCCAUGUCCGUGCCCCGCCC